GAGUUUUUAAAGGACUCUAAGAAGUCCUAUGUCUGGAAAUUUAAGAACAAGUGGGAAAAAGAUCUACAUAUUGAAAUUACUGAGCAAGAUAUUAUAAGUGCGAUAGUUAAGGUAAAUAAAUCGGUACAUUGUCUUAAUAUAGUAGAGAAUUUUUAUAAACUCAUAAACAGAUGGUAUUUGGUCCCAUAAAAACUGGCUAAAAUGUAUAAAGAUAGGAAUCAUGCUUGUUGGAG